rnacentral:rRNA from 1 species
UACGGGGGGGGUAAGCGUUGUUCGGAAUUACUGGGCGUAAAGGGCUCGUAGGCGGCCAACUAAGUCAUACGUGAAAUCCCUCAGCUUAACUGGGGAACUGCGUGUGAUACUGGAUGGCUUGGAUUUGGGAGAGGGAUGCGGAAUUCCAGGUGUAGCGGUGAAAUGCGUAGAUAUCUGGAGGAACACCGGUGGCGAAGGCGGGUCUCUGGGCAUCUCCUGACGCUGAGGCGCGAAAGCGUGGGGAGCAAACGGG